rnacentral:rRNA from 1 species
GACGUAGGGCGCGAGCGUUGUCCGGAUUUAUUGGGCGUAAAGAGCUCGUAGGCGGUGUGUCGCGUCGGCCGUGAAAACCUGCAGCUUAACUGUGGGCUUGCGGUCGAUACGGGCAUCACUGGAGUUCGGCAGGGGAGACUGGAAUUCCUGGUGUAGCGGUGAAAUGCGCAGAUAUCAGGAGGAACACCGGUGGCGAAGGCGGGUCUCUGGGCCGAUACUGACGCUGAGGAGCGAAAGCAUGGGGAGCGAACAGG